GAACUCAUCAUCAAAAAUAUGCAACUCUUCCAUUUGGGGAAAAAUAUAUCUACUCACAUGGGAUCUAUAAUUUCCAUUAAGGUUGAUAGUAUGAAAUUAACUAUCUCAUAUUUAAAAUUAAUUUCUUGAAAAAUCUAAAACCGAUUUGAUUUGAAAUUAUAAUAUAAACUUUUAUUUUAAUACAUUACAGCCACAAAAAUUAU
rnacentral:misc_RNA from 1 species